CCCUGCAUCUCCUCUACUUUCACAUCCAUUCCACCCUUGCUAGCACGCUUGCAUCCUUGCAUCCUUACGUUACUCGCGAAUCCGCUGUUACUACAGCCUCGCCGAUGCAAUCCGCCGCGAGAUCGCUCGCCGCACUCUUUCCGCCGCGCAUGCCGCGCCGCUCCUCCCCAUUCCACCGCCUCUUCGCCUCGUCGCCCCAGGAUCCGUGCCCCGAUCCAGGUCCAGGUCCGGGCCCAGAUGCCGACCCGAAGCUCGUGAGCACUCUCAGCCGCGUACUCAGCGACUUUCGCGGCCCGCGCCACGACCUCCCCGCCGCGCUCCGCGGGUUCGCGCCGCGCCUCACCCCUGAAGCGGCGGCCGCGGUGUUGCGCCGGUGUCGCCACCUCCCUGUACCAUCGCUCCGGUUUUUCCUCUUCGCAGCUGGGCUGCCCGGGUUCUCCCACUUGCCGGAUUCACUCCUUAUCCUUGCCAAUUCACUCGCUGGCGCACGGCUCUUCCCGCUGCUGCGCUCUUUGCUGUCUGACCUCCCGCCAACUGCGCUCUCCCGGGGCCUGUUCCCACGGCUGUUCCGUGCUUACUCACGUGCUCUUCUUCCGGAAGAUGCCAUCCGUGCCUUCUCCUCCAUGGCAGGGUUUGGGUUCCACCCGACGCUCUCCGAUUUCCACUCUUUGCUCUUUGCCUUGUCUCAUAAUGGCCUUGUAGAGCAUGCUGAGACAUUUUUCAGAGAGUCAGGGACCCAUUUUGAUGUCUCAGCGAAGACCUACACCAUCCUGAUCUCUGGGUGGGCUGUCGUGGAAAAGCCAGAAAACGCUCAGAUGCUAUUUGAUGAAAUGGUCGAGAGAGGUGUCGAGCCUGAUGUGCCUGCUUACAAUGCAUUGAUUGAUGCCUUAUGCCGCAGAGGUGAUGUUGCACGUGCACAGGAACAUCUGAAAGAUAUGCAACAGAGCCGUGGGCUUGUUCCGGAUGCUGCCACUUAUGGUCCAUUCCUUCGUGCUUCAUGUGCAUCAAAGGAUGCUCGGGGUGCUCUUCGUGUGCUAGAUAGGAUGCACAUGCACGACCUCACACCAAAUGUAUUCACAUAUAAUGCUAUUAUUCGGUUACUGUGUGAGUUGGGAGAGAUCGACGAGGCUUACAAUAUCCUCGGUGAGGUCAUCAUGCGAGGUGAAAAGCCUGAUGUUUGGAGCUACAACACACUGCUUAAUGCACAUUGCAAACUUAAUGAGGUGAACAAGGCACUGAGGCUUAUUGCAAGAAUGGAUAAAGGCCUGUGUGUACCAGACCGUCAUACUUAUAAUAUGUUGCUAAAAAUGUUGAUUGGUAUAGGAAGGAUUGAUAAGGCUGUUGAGGUUUGGGAUGGUAUGGAAAAACGGGGUUUCCACCCAGGAGCAGCAACUUACGCUGUCAUGAUCCAUGGGUUAUCUUGCAAAAAGGGUAGAUUAGAGGAAGCUUGCAGCUAUUUUGUGAUGAUGGUCGAUGAAGGUAUCCCACCUUACCAGGCUACUUGUCAGGUUUUGAGGGAUAGGCUGACAAGGCAUGGCCUGAGAGAUCAACUUGAGGUCCUCACUGAUAGGAUGCGACGAAGCACUUCCUGUACUAUACAAGAAAUGGCAAGUGUCAUGUGCAGUAGUAAGAGAGAAGAUGAAACUAGAACCGUGAGCAGUGACCAAGAACCCUCGGGGCAUCAUCUUGCUGAGAGUGAAUGGAGGGGAAAUUGGAAACUAGGAGACUGGACAGUGAUGCCAUAGGGUUUGCUUACAUGCCAUCUACCAUGACGGCAUGGAAUCCGACCCCUCAUCACAGAACCCAACAGACAUGACAGCAUUUGUGCAAAACCUUCUCGGUCAGAUGCAAACGAGGUUCGAGUCUAUGUCCCAGACCAUCGUGUCAAAGA